rnacentral:lncRNA from 1 species
UCCAAUGACGGAGCGGCGCGCGCAGCCCUCAGUGUCAAUGUCAGUGGGAUAUACCUGGAUAUGCGCUCCUGCCUCCGUCUGCUCGCCGGGACCCGGAGGGCGCCAGAUAACUUACGGCGAUAACCUCAGGACGAAACGCAGCGCUGCGUCCUUUCGCGCGCGUCACGUCGCGUCGCGUCGCGUCGCGUCGCGUCGCGUCUCGGUCGACCUGGUGCGCGAUCAGUGAGCGACGACGACGUGUCCACGAGAUAUGUCGAAGAUACUCGGGCUGCGCGCGUUAACAAGCAAUGACUGCAACAUCCUAGACGACGGAGAUGCAUCAGGGCGGUGGUGUGAUGUCUAAGUAUGCCGAGAGACCGGGUCCACUUUACAUAAUUGCCAGUUUUCGUACGGUAUGCACGUGCGAGAGCGCUACGUCCUGUCGGAUCGUACUUUGCGGCGCGAGAUAUGUUUGCUGUUAUUUCUCAAUUUCACUCCCGCACGCACGCAAAAAGCAUAUUCGGUUUUGAGCGGAGCGUGAACUCAAUGGUGCAUUCGAACAGACAGCUGAAAGAAGAAGACGCGAGGAGAUACUGGAAACAGCCGAGAGUGCCAGCCAACGUAAAUAUUUCUGAAAACAGAGACAACGAUCGGAAACCAGGACGCGGAAUUUCGAAACGAACCUUCGACAUGCCGUUUCCAUUCGAACAUUUUCGAAAAUUCCUCGCGGCCUCAGUUCGGUAACCGACGUUCUGUAAAAGUGGAAACGAGACGAACGGCGUACGAGAGAACGAAACGCUCAUGCAAUGCAGAUCGUUAAAGCAACCUCGUGCCGCUGACCUGAAUGUGGCUUAUGGAGACAAAGCGCGGUAAGGCGACGGGAAAUGGAGGAAAAGGGAAAAGAGCCGGCGGGGAAGUGCUCCGAGAGGAGUGGGAGCCCGCGUCGUUUCCGCUCUGUCGCAAUUCGUUUCUUCCGGUUUAUUCGCGCGAAUCUGCGCCGGCUGACGUUAUCUUACAGAGGAAAAUGUUGAUAAACUGGUCCUUCCCUAUUUUUUUAAAUUAGCGUGUGCCGUUUGCAGUUCGCUCUUUCGGCGACACACCUGUUCCUUUUCCGAGAGUGGAGAUCACACGCGUGCAAAGUAUUUUUUAAUUUACCAUAACUUAUUAUCAAUGCAAUGUUUAAUGUGACGUAGAAAUUUGUCAUUUAUUGUUCGUAAUGCUCAAUUAUAUCAAUUGUGAAGUAAUGAAAGAAAUAAACAAAAUUCCUCACCGUAGCGGACGAUAAACCGGCAUUUUUUCAGAGCUGAAUUCACUCUCGCGAGCACGAGAUCGAAACUCGCGCUCUCAGGCCGUAUAUUUAACGCCAAAUGUUGGCUAUUCGCUCCGCGUUUCUCGAUUACGAUCGCCGUAUCUCCGAAUAAAAUUCUCGCAAUCGGACGGAUCUCCGCGUUCGGCGCGAGAACGCGGCGCCGAACAAGGGCGCGAAUACGCUAAGCUAAGCUAAGACGUGAUGGAAAAUAGAGUCAACGAUAGUUAGAAUCCGCAAUGGAGGGCGGGGAGGGAUAGCGGCGAGGAUGCGCGGAUGGGAAGGAACACGAUUCUGAUUAGCAUACAAACUACGCCCGGCCGUGUCGGUUCUCCGCGUUCUGAUUGUGUGCGCAGUGUCGUAACCAAAAUCAUUGGCCCCCGGUGGCAAGAACCUAGAUUUGCAGCCUCCAUCUCGCUAAAACAGCACGCGAGUUGUGAUAUGUACGAACAAUGGAGAGCAAUGAUACUACAUUUAAACAAUUAUCGUACAACGAUGCUCUCUCGCAUACUUUCUCGAGAUACUUUCUACUUUGGCGCUGUGUGCGCCUUCGA